UGCAAAGUCGUCAAGAUGGGCAAUGGAACGGGUUUAGUUUUCCUAAAAUCCAUGGACCAUGGUAAAUUGAGCCACUGGCUACUAAAAUAAUAGUUCCCAAUUUUGCCAAAAGCCUCUCGUCUCAUCAGACUUGACCUCUUUGUGAGGAGGUCAUAGUUCGUGAUCGCAAGCUGUUGCCGAUGGUUAUACCGGAAGCGAAGAUUAAGUUACGCCAUACGUCGGAAUGAAAAUGUCGGCAUGGACAAGCGCACCUCCUAUUUUGGUUCCCAUUGCAUC
rnacentral:lncRNA from 1 species